UACAGAGGGUGCGAGCGUUAAUCGGAAUUACUGGGCGUAAAGCGUGCGUAGACGGUUAUUUAAGUCGGGUGUGAAAGCCCCGGGCUCAACCUGGGAAUUGCAUUCGAGACUGAAUAGCCAGGGUACGGUAGAGGGAAGCGGAAUUUCCGGUGUAGCGGUGAAAUGCGUAGAUAUCGGAAGGAACAUCAGUGGCGAAAGCGGCUUCCUGGACCAGUACCGACGUUCAGGCACGAAAGCGUGGGGAGCAAACAGG
rnacentral:rRNA from 1 species